UGGGGAAUAUUGCACAAUGGGCGAAAGCCUGAUGCAGCAACGCCGCGUGAGUGAUGAAGGCCUUCGGGUUGUAAAGCUCUGUCUUUUGGGACGAUAAUGACGGUACCAAAGGAGGAAGCCACGGCUAACUACGUGCCAGCAGCCGCGGUAAUACGUAGGUGGCAAGCGUUGUCCGAAUUUACUGGGCGUAAAGGAUGCGUAGGCGGAUUUUUAAGUGAGAUGUGAAAUACCCGGGCUUAACUUGGGUGCUGCAUUUCAAACUGGGAAUCUAGAGUGCGGGAGAGGAGAAUGGAAUUCCUAGUGUAGCGGUGAAAUGCGUAGAGAUUAGGAAGAACACCAGUGGCGAAGGCGAUUCUCUGGACCGUAACUGACGCUGAGGCAUGAAAGCGUGGGUAGCAAACAGGAUUAGAUACCCUGGUAGUCCACGCCGUAAACGAUGAGUACUAGGUGUAGGAGGUAUCGACCCCUUCUGUGCCGCAGUUAACACAAUAAGUACUCCGCCUGGGAAGUACGAUCGCAAGAUUAAAACUCAAA
rnacentral:rRNA from 1 species